GGUAGAGAAUACUAAGGCGAAGAGAUAAUGCUUGUAAAGGAACUCGGCAAGUUAUCUUCAUAAGUUAGACGACAUGAAGGACCAUCGAGUAAUUAAUAAUUAAAAAUUAACUAUUUACUCCCUUUUCACGAAUGUGGCUUUCUCAUCUUGCACUAGCUUCUCACGUUGUUAGGAAUGGAUUAAAGUAAGUUAGGGAGAGCAAAUAAAUAAUUGUAAUCGUAGGUUAUUAGUUCCGAUGGUGUCACAAAAUCGGAGGCCCCGACUGUUUACUUAAAACACAGCUUUCUGCAACGAUUAAUAUCUUUGUAUAGGAAGCGAAUUUUGCCCAAUGCCAUUAAUAUAAGGUUGAUAAGCUUUUUAGUAAAUUAUCGAUUGAAGUUCUGGUCAAUGGCGGUCUUAACCAUGAGGAUCCUAAGGUAGCAAAAUUAAUUGUCCAUUAAAUGUGGUCCCGACUGAAUAAAGUAACGAUGGUCUCACUGUCUCUACAAGCAUCUCAGUGAAAUUGAAUUAGCCGUGCAGAUGCGGUUUAACUUCGGGUAGACGGGAAGACCCUAGCAG
rnacentral:rRNA from 1 species